UAACGCGUAUGCAACCUGUCCGUUACAGGGGAAUAGCCCAUGGAAACGUGGAUUAAUGCUCCAUAAUAUAAUAUAGAGGCAUCUUUGUAUUAUUAAAUAUUCAUAGGUAACGGUUGGGCAUGCGUCCUAUUAGAUAGUUGGGGGGGUAACGGCCCACCAAGUCGAUGAUAGGUAGGGGUUCUGAGAGGAAGGUCCCCCACACUGGUACUGAGACACGGACCAGACUCCUACGGGAGGCAGCAGUGAGGAAUAUUGGUCAAUGGGCGAGAGCCUGAACCAGCCAAGUCGCGUGAGGGAUGACUGCCCUAUGGGUUGUAAACCUCUUUUGUAUGGGGGGAAUAAGCUUUACGAGUAGAGUGAUGACAGUACCAUACGAAUAAGCAUCGGCUAACUCCGUGCCAGCAGCCGCGGUAAUACGGAGGAUGCGAGCGUUAUCCGGAUUUAUUGGGUUUAAAGGGUGCGUAGGCGGCAUUAUAAGUUAGUGGUAAAAUAUUGGGGCUUCACCUCACUACGCCAUUAAUACUGUAGAGCUAGAGAACAGACGAGGUAGGCGGAAUAAGUUAAGUAGCGGUGAAAUGCAUAGAUAUAACUUAGAACACCGAUAGCGAAGGCAGCUUACCAGACUGAGUCUGACGCUGAUGCACGAGAGCAUGGGUAGCGAACAGGAUUAGAUACCCUGGUAGUCCAUGCCGUAAACGAUGCUCACUGGCCUUAGGCGAUAUACGGUCU
rnacentral:rRNA from 1 species